AUGCAUGAUAUGAUUGAUAAGCAGCUCCCUCUCCUACAGACAGUAUGCUCAGGGUAGCUGAACCACUGUUUCUCUUUAUAAAGUUGAACGAGCUGCCACUUUCACUUGGCCUCCAGAGUCUCCACCUACACCCUUGUGCUUCCCCACCACACUGAUGACUCAAGACAAGGCUAGCAAACCCCGCUGGAGACAUCCUGGGCACAGGCAUUCUCUCUCAUGAGGCACAGCCAAGCCAAAUGCUCAUGUUGUGCCAGUGAGCCAGCCAUGGAGCAAAAGAGCGUUUGUUUUUAGUCUCCAGUGUCUGGUCAGAACCAGAGAGGAUGCUGGAUGCCUCCUGCUUACUCAGUAAGCCUGCCCAGCCUGAGUCAGUGCUCCCAGCUGACAGUGCAAGGCUUGCAGAAGUAGGAGGAGCCAAGUCUUCACUGGGAAGCACAAGAAGCAAAGGCAAGUUCCAAAGUGCCUCACUCCAAAGGAGGCCCCGGCCCCUGGAGCCAGGGUAUACAGCAAAGCUUUGGCUGAGACUUGGGAUGUGAGAUGCCAUGAACUUUGUUGAACAGUGUCUCUGUUCAGCAAACUAACCAGCAUUCCCCACAACACAGCCUAGGGCAGACAAUAGUAUAGAGGAGUUCUGAAGAAACAUCAGUGUCUGAGAACCUUGGGCCACUCCUGUCCCUGUAACCUCAGUCGUCAAUGCAGAAGCCUGGCUUUACUCUGUUAAGAUUGGAAAUGUAUAGUACCAAAUGCUCUGUCCACUGUUGAGCCCCAAGGAUGGAAGGGAGGAGAGCAUUUUUUUCUGUAUGAAUUGAAUAGAUGGAGGCCACAGGGGUUGGGCUGGACUAAAGGCAUCCUUGUCUUUUGAGCUGUUCCUCUCAGUAGAAAAAAAAUCUAAUGGAAGAUCACUGUAGUUUAGAUCCACUGACCCAAGUACCUACCCCUUGGAAAUGCCUGUGGGGUAGUUUUAAUUCCACAGGUCAUCAGAGGCCUGCUUUACACCUGAUGAUCAAAACCAACUUUUAUCUUUCUAUUCUAAUUGUGUUCGAUGGACCUGAUCUAUACCAUGACCCUACACAGGCUGGAUGGGGUCCAGUUUCUAACAGGCCUUGCUUUGUGGGCGUGCUGACAACUUAUCUGGGUGCCUUACAUCUUUUUUAAUCAGUGUUGCAUCUGAGCCUGCUCUGCUUCCUCCCUGCUCCCUCUGUGGAGUUCUUUUGCACCUGAGAGCCUGCAGAAGUGGCUAGUAGAAAAGGGGGCCUGGCUGGAGAAUUAUCAGUAUAGCUGUUUGCAGGAUUCCCUUCUGGACUUUGUUUUGGAAACUUUCCUUAGGGCUGUUUUUAUUAAUUGCCCACAUAUGAUGGAGGGUGGAAGGAAUUUGAAUGUAUUUGACUUAUAAUUUUUUUUUAAUAUUAAAAGAUGGUUGUAGCAUUUAAAAUGGAAACUUUUUCUCCUAGUUAGCUAGUAUCCUGAGUGUAUUCUCUGUAAGUGUAGCUCAAAUGGGUCAGCGUGAAAAGUUAAAGAAAGCACGAUGUCAAGGUUACACGGGUGGUUAAGGCCAGGGCCUCUCCUACCACUGUGCCACAGACUUGCUGUGUGACCCUGGGCAAGUCAUUUAACUAUAAUGUGCCUCGGUUUUCCUUCUGUUAAAAUGAGAUAAUAAUACUGACCUACCUCAAAGGGCAGUUUUGAGGCGUGACUAAUGCUUUUUAUAAAGCAUUUUGGGAUCCUUCAGCAAAGGAAUUCUCUUAAGUCCUGAGUAUUUUUAUAGUAGCAGUAUCCACCGUGAACUGUGUCCACCAUGAACCACGUGUCCUGGAUGCUAUCAUGGAUCUAUAUGGUUCUCUCUGAGAGAUUGAAUAAACCCAUUAGAUAAGUGGUGGAUAACUAGCCAGACAAAAAUCUGAGAAUGCAUAAACUCGUUGCCAUGGAAACAUACACAGGAUACCUUUUCCUUGAUUGGGUGGGAUUUUUCCCUUUUUAUGUGGGAUAGUAGUUAUUUGUGACCUAAGAAUAAUUUUGGAAUAAUUUCUAUUAAUAUCAACUCUGAAGCUAGUUGUACUGAUCUGAGAUUGUGUUUGUUCCUAAUAAAAGUGAAGUGAAUCUGA